UACAGAGGGGGCAAGCGUUGUUCGGAAUUACUGGGCGUAAAGAGCUCGUAGGCGGCUUGUCGCGUCGACCGUGAAAACUUGGGGCUCAACCCCAAGCCUGCGGUCGAUACGGGCAGGCUCGAGUUCGGUAGGGGAGACUGGAAUUCCUGGUGUAGCGGUGAAAUGCGCAGAUAUCAGGAGGAACACCGAUGGCGAAGGCAGGUCUCUGGG
rnacentral:rRNA from 1 species